UCUCCUCCCCACCUUCUCCCUCCCGCGCAUCAGUGGUGUUGUGGUGGACAGCGAAGGCAGCGGCCCACCGACGGCACCCUCCCCGUGUCUCUUCUCUGGUCGCCCUCUGUUAAAGCCCUUGGCGGGGACCAAGGCUGCUAACCCAACACAGCGCGCUCACGUCGGCCCAGAUUUCUUGGCCACCUUGUGCCGAUGAAAGUAGAUUAUAUGCACUUGCAGAAAGUGACGAGGGAAAGUGUAUCCAAUUUUUUAAUAUUUGAGAGCCACACACCUGCAGAUUUAUGCACUUGCCUUGAAGUGCAACGGUCAAAUUUUGGUCCACCUAUCACUAAAGGAGUAAAAGAGCAGUGUCGACCUAAGGUUACUGCGGAUAGGACUGCGGAAGCUGGCCUGCACUGGAUAUCCAGAUUUUGUUGGCGGUUGCUAGCGGGGAAGAGGGGUGUCAUUUGGAGGAUGAGGAUAAGGAAGGCGGCUAUCGCUGGAAAAACAUGUGGGGCUUUCAUAGAAACUACGGAGAAUUUGGGAUUUGUCUACAUUGCUUCCAGACAUUAUGCACAUAAUAUCAAGUGCAUAAUUAAUGGAAACGGAAGACAUUGGAAGAUCUUGUUUUAGUUGCAGAGGGUGGAGUAUCUGUAAAUAUAGACAGUGAAUGUGAUUUGGAAAAUAUUACUACUGAUGCUGAGUUGCAGGAAAGAAAGUGCUUGUUUUGCUCACAAAAUAUUACCACAGUAUGGUGGAGCCUUGCAGGGUGAGGGAGUAGGCAAUGGUGAAGAUCAGAGGGCGUGAGCUCACGGUGGUCGCCCAGAUUUCAACAGCUUCGACAGGUAGAGAAGAUCUCACAAAUUUGAAGGAACUGCAGUUGUCUUCAUGUACAAUUCACUCAAAACUUCUCCAUGUAGUUGAAUUAAAGAUUUUUUCCAGUGAUCUUUCUUACACAAAUGCCAUCUUAACUAACAUUUAACUUCAUACAAUUGGAUUUUACAUCUUUUUUGAGUAAUCUUUACUACAGAGACAAUAAUUCUGGUACAUUCAGUCAUGUAUUUAUUUUAUUCAUCUCGUGAAAUCCUCAAUAAAUGUUAUAUUGGUGAUACAAUGAUGUUUGAAAAAGUUGGUUACAUAAUAUGUUGGUGGCACAUAAAAGUAUAAAUGAAGUAACCAGGUUUAGUAUUGACCGUUACAAUUGAAUUCUUAAUUUUUUUACUACCUCUGUCCAUUUUUAGAUGUCAAAACUUUUUCUAAAUUCGGAUGUAUGUAGACACUUUUUUAGUGUAUAGAUGCAUCCGAAUUUAAACGAAUCUCCUGACAUCUAUUAAUAGACGGAGGGAGUAGCUUUUUUCAAUGUUAGAAAGAUCAUAUUGUAAUUUCCAGCUCCAGUUUCCAUGUUGUAAUUUUGUAGGGAUACUAAUAAUAUAUAUGAACCUAAAUCUGAACAAACGUUGUACUGCAGGAGAGCUUCUCCCUUCUGUAUGCGCCUGCUCAAAGGUAUCUGACAAGUAGUUUUUGUCCUCGUCCUUUCUAGGUAACUAUGUAUGGAGAUCAAAUCAGAAUGGUUCUAGGUGUAUCUGAAUGAGUGCUCUCAGAAUGGUUUUUUUUCAAGGCUGGUGCUAAUAUUGUAUUUACCGCUAGGGGUGGAGCCAGCACCUACAGAUUCACCUUAUAUGUCGAUUGAUUCGUUAAUGAUUCCCAUGCCUUCAGUCAGCUUUGCAAUAUGGAGGUCACUGCUUUGCAAUAUGGUAUGUGCCUGACAGGGGUAGGUAAGAAAAGAACCUCAUUUUUGGCUCAGGUCUAACUAGAGAUUAUGUCAUCCAGUUUUAGUGGGCAGUUAAAAGAGCAGCCCUAUUUUCGUUAAAGUUUUUCUGCCCUUCAAUAUAUUUUUGGUUGCAUUUCCAGUCUCUUUUUUGCUCUGAUUUGAGGCCUUCAAUCCCCUUUUGGUUGGUUAAUAGUUGUCACUACUCUUUUCCUCCGUUCAACUUCUUGUUCCGAUUGAAAUUAGGAAAAUUUUAUAGCUAGCAGGAUAUAUUGCAUUCAGUAGAGCAAACAAAGAAAAUCCAUUAUAUCGAUUGUGCCAAAUCGAACAAACUGGCCUCUGCAGCGAGUUGCCAGUACCAUCAUGUGCGUUGCGUUUCUCUUUUUUUUCCUCAUGUCUUCCUCCCUUCCUCCUCGCUGAAUUGCUCCUCCACACCUCGUUACCCUUCCGUGUUAUUCUCUUGCCAUGGUUGAAUUAUGUAUGUAAAAAACCGCGAUGUCUCCAGUUUUGUGAUUAACUUGUUAGAUACCUCCUAAUUUGUGUGAUAAAUUUAUGUGGUAGAUUUCUUUUGAUAAAUCUGGCAUGCCUACAACUGAUGGUAAAUUAACUUGUUAGCUCUGUUUAAUGUAAUGGCAUAUUAACCUGUGCAGCUACUGGCCAUAGAAGUUUUUGUUGGUAACCGGCUAACUGCAAAUGUUUAGUUUUGAUGCCCUGUCAUUCUUUUGAAUUAUUUGAGAGCUUCAAAUGAUGUCUGUAUCAGACCGUGCGCGUGGGGAUGGUCCUGAUGCGCAGCUAGCCAGUGUAGUCGUGGGGAUAGGGACUGGUUGCGACUUUGGCCACGCCAGGGCGCAGAGCUUCUCCGUGCUGCUAGAACAGUUGCGGUGGUGGCAGGGUAGGAAGAGAGGCACGCGAGGUGGCUAAGAUGCAUUGUACCGGUCGACAUCUGGGAGCCAUGUUGCUGAAGCUUUAGCCUUCGAAAGAAGAUUUAAAGAGGUUGCACAUGUUGUAGGUUAGAACAAAUAUUUUCAGUAAGCUCCAACCACAAAUUUCUGCAGUGCAUUCUACAGUAGUUUCUUAUGACCAAAAACAGUUGGAAUGAAAGAAAUAAACAUAAGUUCAGAAUCAAUGUGAGAGUCUUUCUUCCGCACAUAGAAAAACUGCACAUAACAUAACUAAACCUUCAUGCCUAACUACUGUAUUGUUGCUGUAACAUGAAGGUUUAGUUUGUUAGAGACAGAGACAUAUUGAAAGCAACGAAGUGUAGAAUGUAUAGUGUAAAUCUGCAAGACGUUCCUGACAUUGGACAAUGCCUUGCAGUUGAACUUGGAAUUAUUUCAUUGUUAGAGGAUUUCAUCUGUGUAUACUGAGAAGUAGGUCCGUGCCUUUUAUUGUGUUUCUUUAUUACAUCCUCUAUGUGAGAUCAGUGUAUGGGCUGAAGCUUUCAAUAUUUCUUUCAGUUUAUGUUUGUGCAUUAGGAGCAAAAAUAGAGAACGAAAUGCAAAAAAUAGGGGCUCAAGCACUCUGAUUUAGGAGGUGCAAAAUGGGGUAAGAGCAUAGUAGUUCAUGCUGCAAUUGACAAGCACGUCAUGGUUGCAAAGUCUAAUUCGGGAGUGGGUGAAUACCUAGAAUCCAAAUUAUGAUGUUGUUCUAACUUUUCAGUUUUCCUGUUGAUAUUGUGAAUUAAAGGCUGCAAUCAAUAAGGACAGAAUACUAUGUUCGAUUCAGGUAUUCAUGUUAGAGGAUUCCUUCUCCUGUAGUCAGGAUACCACAUAUAAAAUUCAGAUUUGCUUAAAGGAGGCUCCCCACAUAAUGUCGACUUUGGCCUGAAGUCGAGAGAUGCACAGUGCAAAUUUUUAUCUGUUUUGCAGGUUCAUCCAUAAGGUCCAUCGGUAGCCUCGGGUGGUGGAGGAUGGUGUCUGUCGAGGCACCAACAGGUGCAGCUUGUUGGUUGUGGCUUGGCAAGCGUCGUCUUGGCGAGUGCCGGUGCGGCUUCUUCUUUUUUCCUUCCGGUGAGCACCUUGUGCUGGGCACUGGAGUAUUGCAUGCCCUUUUUGGAUGAGAUUUGUGUAUCCACGUGCUGCUGCCCAUCUACAUGACUUGAGGUUGUCCCGUUUUUUCUAGCGGAGGCAGGUCUUCUGUGAGGAUUGUAGCUGCAGGAGAUAGGGUCAGUACACCAGAUUUCAGCAUCACAGUACACCAGAUUUCAGCAUCACAGUCAUUGUACUGGUUGCCGCAGUGAUGCUUCUCCGCACAGGUGCCGGUGGUUGCGACUGUCGACAAUUGUGUGUCAUACAACAUGUCCAUCACAUGUUUGAUCAGGCUGCCUCAGUGACGGUUAUGACCGUGGCGCAGAGGUAUAUACAGGUCAUUUCAUCCUCAGUUCUUCAGGUCACUUAUUGCUGCAAUAGCUGGAGAGGUUGGAAAGGAGCGUGAAUUGUAUGGCCAGUCUCUUGUAAUCAUCCUCCCUAAACUUUGAUUUGAUAUUUCUGCAUCUGUUGUACUGCAAUUUAAUUUUAGUGUCCUCAGGUUUCCAUUAAUUCGGAAACCUAAAUUAUGUACAUAUGUGUGUUUGUUAUGUGCUUCUUAGUGAUGAACCCGAUGCAUCUUUACUGGAGAAUAAAUACUAUACUUGAUAUGUGCUUCUUAUCAAAGAUGAUCAUGGUGCAAAAAUGAAUAUUUACAUAUGGUAUUAUUAGCUUCUACA